AGUGAACGCUGGCGGUAGGCCUAACACAUGCAAGUCGAACGGCAGCACAGUAAGAGCUUGCUCUUACGGGUGGCGAGUGGCGGACGGGUGAGGAAUACAUCGGAAUCUACUUUUUCGUGGGGGAUAACGUAGGGAAACUUACGCUAAUACCGCAUACGACCUACGGGUGAAAGCAGGGGAUCUUCGGACCUUGCGCGAUUGAAUGAGCCGAUGUCGGAUUAGCUAGUUGGCGGGGUAAAGGCCCACCAAGGCAACGAUCCGUAGCUUGUUUGAGAGGAUGAGCAGCCCCACUUGAACAUGGACACCGGCCUGACUCCCAACGGAGGCAGCCGGGGGGAAUAUUGGACAAGGGGCGCAAGCCUGAUCCAGCCAUACCGCGUGGGUGAAGAAGGCCUUCGGGUUGUAAAGCCCUUUUGUUGGGAAAGAAAAGCAUCAGGUUAAUACCCCGCUGUUCUGACGGUACCCAAAGAAUAAGCACCGGCUAACUUCGUG
rnacentral:rRNA from 1 species